rnacentral:sRNA from 1 species
GCUGGGCAUGGUGGUGCACACCUGUAAUCCUAGCAACUCGGGAGGCUGAGGCAAGAGGAUCAAAAGUUCAAGGCCUGCCUCUGCAACUUAGGGAUACCCUGUUUCAA